rnacentral:tRNA from 1 species
GGUCUUGUGGUUUAAUGGUUAUAACGAUGGAUUCUGAGUCUCUUCUUAGAAUAUCUACUUCCAUAAAUCCCGGUUCGAUUCCGGGCAGGACCU